ACCAACCUUAAGCUGAAAACUAAAAAUAUGACAUCUUAACCGUCGAUUGUUGACCCAUCAAAUUUUACGGUCGAGAUUUUUUCCCCCAAUGUUCAUGCAAAAUGUCUACAAUUUCUAUCUCCUCCUUCAUUUGCACGUUAUUUUCUUCCUCCUCUACCUUCUCUCUCCUACUUUUUGCCAAUUUCAUGCUACUUCUUCAAAUCCAGCUUCAAUUACUUUGAUUUUCAGCAAUUUCUUAGCUCUACGAUCUACUAUCAAUCAAAUUGAGCGAUUUGAGUAUAAAUUUGGCAAAUACAAAACCUAGAUUGAUCAAGAACAAAUUGAAGAAAAAUAUCCUUCAAAUUCACGCUCAAUUCUCCGACCUCAAUUGCCGGAAAUAAUUGCCGAUGAAGUCUUCAUCGCAAUGCUUGAAGCUUUGUGAUUUUGGAUUUGCUCGUGCCAUGUCAAUAAACACUGUUGUACUUCGCUCCAUCAAAGGUACUCCAUUGUACAUGGCUCCUGAGCUUGUUCGCGAACAGCCAUACAAUCACACAGUUGACUUGUUGUCAAAAUUGAUAUAAUUACCUUAUUUUUAUAUAUAGUGUCCUUCGUUAUUUUUAUAUAUAGUGGCCUCUGUAUAAAUGUGAUCAA